rnacentral:rRNA from 1 species
AUAUCAAUAAGCGGAGGAAAAGAAACCAACAGGGAUUGCCUUAGUAACGGCGAGUGAAGCGGCAAGAGCUCAAAUUUGAAAUCUGCCUCGGCCCGAAUUGUAAUUUGAAGAGGAAUGUUCGGCAAUGCCGUCGGUCCAAGUCUUUUGGAACUGAGCGUCGUAGAGGGUGAGAACCCCGUACCGGCUGGUCGGCAGAGCUAUGUGAACUUCCUUCGAAGAGUCGAGUUGUUUGGGAAUGCAGCUCAAAAUGGGUGGUAAAUUCCAUCUAAAGCUAAAUAUUGGCCAGAGACCGAUAGCGCACAAGUA